GCCCCGGUAGCUCAAGAGGAUAGAGCGGGACCGUCCUAAGGUCAAGGCUGCAGGUUCGAGUCCUGCCCGGGGCGCCA
rnacentral:tRNA from 2 species